rnacentral:misc_RNA from 1 species
AGAGCAUUUUUUUUUUCCUGCCAUUUAUCUCACAUUUUUCUUAUGAGGUUUACAUUUCUCUCUGUGUAUUUCCAUCAAUAAAAAAGAAAAUGAAGAAAAUCGAAUGAAUUCCUACAACUGGUAAUAACCAACACAUUUGAGGCAACAGUUUAAAAAAAAAAUAACAGUACCACAUAUUGAUUCCCAAUUCCCAUCAGAGCUUUGCAGUCAAAACAAAUGAAAAAAUAACUUA